AACAAACGCUGGCGGCGUGCCUAACACAUGCAAGUCGUACGAGAAAGGGUCCUUCGGGGCCUGAGUAAAGUGGCGCACGGGCGAGUAACGCGUGGAUAAUCUGCCCUUCAGUUGGGAAUAACUCAUCGAAAGGUGGGCUAAUACCGAAUAAUGCUGUGAGACCUCGGUUGAUCAGCCAAAGAGAGCCUCUGCUUGCAAGCCCUCGCUGAAGGAUGGGUCCGCGUACCAUUAGCUAGUUGGUAGGGUAAUGGCCUACCAAGGCGACGAUGGUUAGCUGGGCUGAGCGGAUGAUGAGCCACACUGGAACUGAGACACGGUCCAGACUCCUACGGGAGGCAGCAGUGAGGCAUCUUGCGCAAUGGGGGCAACCCUGACGCAGCAACGCCGCGUGAGUGAGGAAGGUCUUCGGAUCGUAAAGCUCUGUCGGAUGGAAAGAACCGCAUAGGGGUAAACAGCCCCUGUGUCUGACGGUACCAUCAAAGGAAGCACCGGCUAACUCCGUGCCAGCAGCCGCGGUAACAC
rnacentral:rRNA from 1 species